rnacentral:tRNA from 1 species
GGGCCUUUAGCUCAACAGGUAGAGCAGUCUGCUCAUAACAGACAGGAGGCAGGUUCAAGUCCUGUAAGGCCCACCA